UGAGGAAUAUUGCGCAAUGGGGGAAACCCUGACGCAGCGACGCCGCGUGAGUGAUGAAGGCCUUCGGGUUGUAAAGCUCUGUCAGAGGGGAAGAAAGGAGAAGUAGCUAAUAUCUGCUUCUAUUGACGGUACCCUCGGAGGAAGCACCGGCUAACUCCGUGCCAGCAGCCGCGGUAAUACGGAGGGUGCAAGUGUUAUUCGGAUUUACUGGGCGUAAAGAGCACGUAGGCGGAUAGGUUAGUCAGAUGUGAAAGCCCGGAGCUUAACUCCGGAACUGCAUUUGAUACUACCUGUCUUGAGUAUGGUAGAGGGGGGUGGAAUUCCCGGUGUAGAGGUGAAAUUCGUAGAUAUCGGGAGGAACACCAGAGGCGAAGGCGACCCCCUGGGCCAUAACUGACGCUGAGGUGCGAAAGCGUGGGGAGCAAACAGG
rnacentral:rRNA from 1 species